GCUUCCGUAGUUUAAUGGAUAGAACGUUGGCCUCCGAAGCCGGCGAUGCAGGUUCGAUUCCUGCCGGAAGCACAA
rnacentral:tRNA from 2 species